GGACAAUAAAAGACUACCAAUGACUAACAAGCAGGACAAAUGUUACAAUAUUUCUGUACCACGUGACUGCCAGAAUCACCAUUCUUGUGCAGUUUGGGUUGUCUAUUAAGUAAGAUGGUUACAUGAAAGUGGACAUUGUGAUGUACAGCAGCCAAGGCCAUGACUUGGAUGUUAUGGAGUGACUAAUGAGUAGCCAGGGUACAUAUGUGGAGGGGGAGAGACACCUUGGUUGGAAGCCCCAUAGAGGAGUUAUAAAGACAAACAAAGAAGCUUACUGGAUUGGGGGCAAUGGAGACGCCUGGGAGCUGCAUGAUGUAAGGGCUUGGCAGAGACAGCUUGCGUCUGCCAUACCCGAGUCACCUGGCAUCACCUCCAGGCUCAAGGUGACCUGACGUCUGGGCUGAACACAUCUGAAGGUUUUCCCACCCCAUGUCUGGCAGUUGAUGUUGCCUUUUGCCUUGGAUGCAGCCUCUUUUUAUGGCUGUUUGGCUUCCUCACAGCAUGGUGGCGGGGUUCCAAGGACACGUAUCUUGAGAAGCAGGAAGCAGAAGUUUCUUAAGUCCUGGCCAUAGAGUUGGCAUAGCGUGAUUUCUUACCAAACUCAAUUUGGACGUGAGUCAAACAGUCAAUGAUCCCAGAUCGAAAGAAAGGUUACCUUGGCUUUAUGUCUUGGUAGAAAGAAUGUCCAAGAACUUAGGGUGCAUGUUUAAAAACUUCCAUGAUUUCAUUCAUAUACAAAUGUAAAAGUACUGGGGACAGCAUACAAUGAGGGACUGCCUGCAGCAGGCCGCAAUGGAGACAUCUCAGUAGCCUGUGACAGCUCUUUGUAAAAAACAGUUGCUCCCAUUUCUCCUAACCUUAGCCCUGGACAAUGGCUGUAUAGAUUUCAUUUGUGCGUGACUGUUUUUCAGCUGGCCUUGGUGUGCAUCAUUAUUUUAUUAUAUCUGAUUUUCUUAUUUCUUUCUGUUUUGGUGAACUCUGUGAAACUAGAUGUCCAUUGAUGCAAUGAUUCUUAAACAAUUAAAAACUGAGCCAUGGAGGCACAGCACAGCACAGUCCUAAUGGCCCAGGUGUAUGCUGUGUGUUCUCAUCUUGGAAACAAUGUAAUAACUGCACAAUGGUAGUUCCAGAUCAAUGUUUGACUUACAAAGGAAGUUUGAAGAAAUUAUUAGAAAAUGAAUUUAGAGCCAACAUUGGGACCCUGAGAAAGGAAAAAAAACUAUUGAAGUUAUGAAAUAAAUUUUGCACAACAUUUGAGAGUGGUUCCUGG
rnacentral:lncRNA from 1 species